UCUUAGAAGCAGCCACCCUUUAAAGAAAGCGUAAUAGCUCACUAGUCGAGUCGGCCUGCGCGGAAGAUGUAACGGGGCUCAAACCAUACACCGAAGCUACGGGUAUCACUUAGGUGAUGCGGUAGAGGAGCGUUCUGUAAGCCUGUGAAGGUGAGUUGAGAAGCUUGCUGGAGGUAUCAGAAGUGCGAAUGCUGACAUGAGUAACGACAAUGGGUGUGAAAAACACCCACGCCGAAAGACCAAGGUUUCCUGCGCAACGUUAAUCGACGCAGGGUUAGUCGGUCCCUAAGGCGAGGCUGAAAAGCGUAGUCGAUGGAAAACAGGUUAAUAUUCCUGUACUUCUGGUUAUUGCGAUGGAGGGACGGAGAAGGCUAGGCCAGCUUGGCGUUGGUUGUCCAAGUUUAAGGUGGUAGGCUGGAAUCUUAGGUAAAUCCGGGAUUCUAAGGCCGAGAGCUGAUGACGAGUUACCCUUUGGGUGACGAAGUGGUUGAUGCCAUGCUUCCAAGAAAAGCUUCUAAGCUUCAGGUAACCAGGAACCGUACCCCAAACCGACACAGGUGGUUGGGUAGAGAAUACCAAGGCGCUUGAGAGAACUCGGGUGAAGGAACUAGGCAAAAUGGCACCGUAACUUCGGGAGAAGGUGCGCCGGUGAGGGUGAAGGACUUGCUCCGUAAGCCCACGCCGGUCGAAGAUACCAGGCCGCUGCGACUGUUUAUUAAAAACACAGCACUCUGCAAACACGAAAGUGGACGUAUAGGGUGUGACGCCUGCCCGGUGCCGGAAGGUUAAUUGAUGGGGUCAGCUAACGCGAAGCUCUUGAUCGAAGCCCCGGUAAACGGCGGCCGUAACGAUAACGGUCCUAAGGUAGCGAAAUUCCUUGUCGGGUAAGUUCCGACCUGCACGAAUGGCGUAACGAUGGCGGCGCUGUCUCCACCCGAGACUCAGUGAAAUUGAAAUCGCUGUGAAGAUGCAGUGUAUCCGCGGCUAGACGGAAAGACCCCGUGAACCUUUACUAUAGCUUUGCACUGGACUUUGAAUUUGCUUGUGUAGGAUAGGUGGGAGGCUUUGAAGCGUGGACGCCAGUUCGCGUGGAGCCAACCUUGAAAUACCACCCUGGCAACUUUGAGGUUCUAACUCAGGUCCGUUAUCCGGAUCGAGGACAGUGUAUGGUGGGUAGUUUGACUGGGGCGGUCUCCUCCUCAAAAA
rnacentral:rRNA from 1 species